rnacentral:rRNA from 1 species
GACGAACGCUGGCGGCGUGCUUAACACAUGCAAGUCGAACGGAAAGGCCCUGCUUUUGUGGGGUGCUCGAGUGGCGAACGGGUGAGUAACACGUGAGUAACCUGCCCUUGACUUUGGGAUAACUUCAGGAAACUGGGGCUAAUACCGGAUAGGAGCUCCUGCUGCAUGGUGGGGGUUGGAAAGUUUCGGCGGUUGGGGAUGGACUCGCGGCUUAUCAGCUUGUUGGUGGGGUAGUGGCUUACCAAGGCUUUGACGGGUAGCCGGCCUGAGAGGGUGACCGGCCACAUUGGGACUGAGAUACGGCCCAGACUCCUACGGGAGGCAGCAGUGGGGAAUAUUGCACAAUGGGCGGAAGCCUGAUGCAGCAACGCCGCGUGCGGGAUGACGGCCUUCGGGUUGUAAACCGCUUUCGCCUGUGACGAAGCGUGAGUGACGGUAAUGGGUAAAGAAGCACCGGCUAACUACGUGCCAGCAGCCGCGGUGAUACGUAGGGUGCGAGCGUUGUCCGGAUUUAUUGGGCGUAAAGGGCUCGUAGGUGGUUGAUCGCGUCGGAAGUGUAAUCUUGGGGCUUAACCCUGAGCGUGCUUUCGAUACGGGUUGACUUGAGGAAGGUAGGGGAGAAUGGAAUUCCUGGUGGAGCGGUGGAAUGCGCAGAUAUCAGGAGGAACACCAGUGGCGAAGGCGGUUCUCUGGGCCUUUCCUGACGCUGAGGAGCGAAAGCGUGGGGAGCGAACAGGCUUAGAUACCCUGGUAGUCCACGCUGUAAACGGUGGGUACUAGGUGUGGGGUCCAUUCCACGGGUUCCGUGCCGUAGCUAACGCUUUAAGUACCCCGCCUGGGGAGUACGGCCGCAAGGCUAAAACUCAAAGGAAUUGACGGGGCCCCGCACAAGCGGCGGAGCAUGCGGAUUAAUUCGAUGCAACGCGUAGAACCUUACCUGGGUUUGACAUGGAUCGGGAGUGCUCAGAGAUGGGUGUGCCUCUUUUGGGGUCGGUUCACAGGUGGUGCAUGGCUGUCGUCAGCUCGUGUCGUGAGAUGUUGGGUUAAGUCCCGCAACGAGCGCAACCCUUGUUCACUGUUGCCAGCACGUUAUGGUGGGGACUCAGUGGAGACCGCCGGGGUCAACUCGGAGGAAGGUGGGGAUGACGUCAAGUCAUCAUGCCCCUUAUGUCCAGGGCUUCACGCAUGCUACAAUGGCUGGUACAGAGAGUGGCGAGCCUGUGAGGGUGAGCGAAUCUCGGAAAGCCGGUCUCAGUUCGGAUUGGGGUCUGCAACUUGACCUCAUGAAGUCGGAGUCGCUAGUAAUCGCAGAUCAGCAACGCUGCGGUGAAUACGUUCCCGGG